UACAGAGGUCUCAACCGUUGUUCGGAUUCAUUGGGCGUAAAGGGCGCGUAGGCGGUGCGGUAAGUCACCUGUGAAAUCUCCUGGCUCAACUGGGAGCUUGCAGGCGAAACUGCCGUGCUGGAGUGUGGGAGAGGUGAGUGGAAUUCCUGGUGUAGCGGUGGAAUGCGCAGAUAUCAGGAGGAACACCGAUGGCGAAGGCAGAUCUCUGGGCCGUAACUGACGCUGAGGAGCGAAAGCAUGGGGAGCGAACAGG
rnacentral:rRNA from 1 species